ACAGGGACCUUCCCGCUUCUCCACUGCGGAAUCCCAGGGAGAGGAGCUGGGUGGGCACAUGCGGGACGGGCAGACGCCAGCAGCCUUGGUGCCAGCCAGGCUGCCAGCAACCCCAGCUCACUUCCGGAGCCAUAAAAGGAGAGACGCUGAGAAUAGCGCGGCUGUGACGCGCCCAGGAGCUCCUCACGCAUGCAGACUCUGCACCACCCGCCCGCCCGCCUGCUCUCUGAGGUGCUGGCCUGAAGGGCCCCCCGCCCAGCCCCAGCCCUACCAGGAUUGGACAACCUGGGACCCCGGCUGGGAGGUUUGGCUGGACCCGCCAAGAAAAGGCAUCGUGCAGAAGCACUGUACAGGUAUUGGACCCCCUCCCCCUUACAGAAACAUGAGACACCCACGAGGAACCAUCUCUCAGCACCAUUUCAGAGGCAGACCCCAGAGGGAGACCACUCUCAUCAUCCAGGAUCCUGCAGAGCGAUGGUCAACCCUGCCAAGAACAGCCACUGUCUCAGGUGCGGCAGCUAUCGAGGCAUGACGCAGGCCACUGACUCACCACGCCAGGCUGACUCACCUCCCAGGGGUUUUGUUUCCGCAUGGCCUUGGGCUGAUUCCCGCUGUCCUCCCUCAUUCCCCCACUUUGAGGGCACAGCCUGGGGACUGCGCGGGCCCAGCCGGCGGAGCCCCAACCUGGAGAAGCCCGCUCGCCCCAGGAGGCCUCCAUUACCAGCGUCCGCCCCCACACCCCCGAAACCGGCUGUGUCUGCCCACGCUGCCACAGCCAUCCCAGAAUCACACGUGGAUGGCUUCAUUUCCCACCUGGGCCUGGGGGCCAAGGAUGCCUAAUUCCUGGAGCGGAGAUGGGCUGAGCCUAGAGAGCCCACCUGGGCUGACGGCUCUGGAAACACAUCAGUCAUGCUGAGCUGUGGGGACCAAGGGGGUGCCGGGAGAGAACGUGGCGCCGGAAACGGAAACGUCUGUGCAGACCAAUGGGGUGCCGAGAGAGAACGCUGACUCCGGAAACGUCCUGGCUGUCUGGGGAGUUCAACAGCAAGGUACGGUGAGAGCUGGCGGCUUCAUUUUUGGAACCAGGGAGAGAGAGAGAGAGAGAGGUUUAUGAGAGACCUCAUGAGACAGCUCAUGAUGGAAGUGAGACUGAGUUGCAGUGAACCCUGUCACUGAAGAGACAGCCUUCACACUGUGUCUUGCAGGGGAAAAUACAACUCUUUAUUAAAAUUUAUUGCCCUGAAAAA
rnacentral:lncRNA from 1 species